UACGGAAGGUGCAAGCGUUAAUCGGAAUUAUUGGGCGUAAAGAGCUCGUAGGCGGUUUGUCGCGUCGGAUGUGAAAGCCCGGGGCUUAACCCCGGGUCUGCAUUCGAUACGGGCAGACUAGAGUGUGGUAGGGGAGAUCGGAAUUCCUGGUGUAGCGGUGAAAUGCGCAGAUAUCAGGAGGAACACCGGUGGCGAAGGCGGAUCUCUGGGCCAUUACUGACGCUGAGGAGCGAAAGCGUGGGGAGCGAACAGG
rnacentral:rRNA from 1 species